rnacentral:rRNA from 1 species
GCAAGUCGAGCGCAGGAAGCAGGCAGAUCCCCUUCGGGGGUGAUGCCUGUGGAAUGAKCGGCGGACGGGUGAGUAACACGUGGGCAACCUGCCUGUAAGAUCGGAAUAACUCCGGGAAACCGGGGCUAAUGCCGGGUAAUCCUUUUUUUCGCAUGAGAGAGAGGUAAAAGAUGGCCUUUGGCUAUCACUUACAGAUGGGCCCGCGGCGCAUUAGCUAGUUGGUGAGGUAAUAGCUCACCAAGGCGACGAUGCGUAGCCGACCUGAGAGGGUGAUCGGCCACACUGGGACUGAGACACGGCCCAGACUCCUACGGGAGGCAGCAGUAGGGAAUCUUCCGCAAUGGACGAAAGUCUGACGGAGCAACGCCGCGUGAACGAUGAAGGUCUUCGGAUCGUAAAGUUCUGUUGUUAGGGAAGAACAAGUACCGUGCGAAUAGAGCGGUACCUUGACGGUACCUAACGAGGAAGCCCCGGCUAACUACGUGCCAGCAGCCGCGGUAAUACGUAGGGGGCAAGCGUUGUCCGGAAUUAUUGGGCGUAAAGCGCGCGCAGGCGGUUUCUUAAGUCUGAUGUGAAAGCCCACGGCUCAACCGUGGAGGGUCAUUGGAAACUGGGGAACUUGAGGACAGAAGAGGAGAGUGGAAUUCCACGUGUAGCGGUGAAAUGCGUAGAUAUGUGGAGGAACACCAGUGGCGAAGGCGACUCUCUGGUCUGUUUCUGACGCUGAGGUGCGAAAGCGUGGGUAGCAAACAGGAUUAGAUACCCUGGUAGUCCACGCCGUAAACGAUGAGUGCUAGGUGUUAGGGGGCUUCCACCCCUUAGUGCUGAAGUUAACGCAUUAAGCACUCCGCCUGGGGAGUACGGCCGCAAGGCUGAWACUCAAGGAAUUGAC